UGAGGAAUAUUGCGCAAUGGGGGAAACCCUGACGCAGCAACGCCGCGUGGGUGAAGAAGGCCUUCGGGUCGUAAAGCCCUUUCGGACGGGACGAACGCUCCGCGGUGAAAGCCGCGGAGUCUGACGGUACCGUAGGAAGAAGCACCGGCUAACUCCGUGCCAGCAGCCGCGGUAAUACGGAGGGUGCGAGCGUUGUUCGGAAUUACUGGGCGUAAAGCGCGUGUAGGCGGCCUUGCAAGUCAGGCGUGAAAGCCCUCGGCUUAACCGGGGAAGUGCGUCUGAAACUGCUUGGCUUGAGUACGGGAGAGGGAGGCGGAAUUCCCAGUGUAGAGGUGAAAUUCGUAGAUAUUGGGAGGAACACCGGUGGCGAAAGCGGCCUCCUGGACCGAUACUGACGCUGAGACGCGAAAGCGUGGGGAGCAAACAGGAUUAGAUACCCUGGUAGUCCACGCGGUAAACGAUGGGCACUAGGUGUGGGGGGUAUCCACUCCUCCCGUGCCGCAGCUAACGCAUUAAGUAUCCCACCUGGGGAGUACGAUCGCAAGGUUG
rnacentral:rRNA from 1 species